UACGUAGGGGGCUAGCGUUGUCCGGAUUUAUUGGGCGUAAAGAGCGUGUAGGCGGCCAGGUAGGUCUGCUGUGAAAACUCGAGGCUCAACCUCGAGACGUCGGCGGAAACCAUCUGGCUAGAGUCCGGAAGAGGAGAGUGGAAUUCCUGGUGUAGCGGUGAAAUGCGCAGAUAUCAGGAAGAACACCCGUGGCGAAGGCGGCUCUCUGGGACGGUACUGACGCUGAGACGCGAAAAGCUAGGGGGAGCGAAACAGG
rnacentral:rRNA from 1 species